rnacentral:rRNA from 1 species
AUUGAACGCUGGCGGCAGGCCUAACACAUGCAAGUCGAACGAGUGGCGGACGGGUGAGUAAUGUCUGGGAAACUGCCCGAUGGAGGGGGAUAACUACUGGAAACGGUAGCUAAUACCGCCUACCCUCGGAUGUGCCCAGAUGGGAUUAGCUAGUAGGUGGGGUAACGGCUCACCUGGGCGACGAUCCCUAGCGGAGCUGCGAGGAUGACGGGCCACACGGGACCGGAUACACGGUCCAGACGCCUACGGGAGGCAGCAGGGGGGAACAGUGCACAAUGGGCGAAAGCCUGCGGCACACAUGCCGCGUGUAUGAAGAAGGCCUUCGGGUGGUAAAGUACGUUCAGCGAGGAGGCGUUACUCGCAGAAGAAGCACCGGCUAACUCCGUGCCAGCAGCCGCGGUAAUUC